UACGUAGGGUGCGAGCGUUGUCCGGAAUUAUUGGGCGUAAAGGGCUCGUAGGCGGUCUGUCGCGUCGGGAGUGAAAACUCAGGGCUUAACCCUGAGCCUGCUUCCGAUACGGGCAGACUAGAGGUAUGCAGGGGAGAACGGAAUUCCUGGUGUAGCGGUGGAAUGCGCAGAUAUCAGGAGGAACACCGGUGGCGAAGGCGGUUCUCUGGGCCUGUACUGACGCUGAGGAACGAAAGCGUGGGGAGCGAACAGG
rnacentral:rRNA from 1 species